AGAGGCAUUGUGCUCCAAUGGU
rnacentral:siRNA from 1 species